rnacentral:rRNA from 1 species
ACACGACUACAUUAGAUACCCCUGUAGUCCUAGCCGUAAACGAUACUCGCUAGGUGUCGGCCACGGUGCGACCGUUGUCGGUGCCGUAGGGAAGCCGUGAAGCGAGCCACCUGGGAAGUACGGCCGCAAGGCUGAAACUUAAAGGAAUUGCGGGGGAGCACAACAACGGGUGGAGCUUGCGGUUUAAUUGGAUUCAACGCCGGAAAUCUUACCGGGACCGACAGCAACAUGAAGGCCAAGCUGAAGACUUUGCCGGAUUAGCUG